rnacentral:rRNA from 1 species
GAUGAACGCUGGCGGCGUGCUUAACACAUGCAAGUCGAACGGAAAGGCCCAAGCUUGCUUGUGUACUCGAGUGUUGCACGGGUGAGUAUCACGUGGGUGAUCUGUCCUGCACUUCGGGAUAAGCCUGGGAAACUGGGUCUCAUACCGGGUAUGACCUCAUUUUGUAUGGUGUGGUUGAAUGUUUUUCGGUGUUGGAUGAGCUCGCGGCCUAUCAGCUUUUUGGUGGGGUAAUGGUCUAGCAAGGGGUCGACGGGUCGCCGGUCAGAGAGGGUGUAAGGCCACAUUGGGACUGAGAUAAGGCCCAGACACCGACGGGAGGCAGCAGGGGGGAAUAUUGCACAAUGGGCGCAAGCCUGAUGCAGCGAGGCCGCGUGGGGGAUGACGGCCUUCGGGGUGUAAACUCCUUUCGCGAGGGACGAAGCGUUUUUGUGACGGUACCUGGAGAAGAAGCAACGGCUAACUACGUG